AGAGAGAGAGAGAGAGAGAGACGCGUGGAGCUACCGACUGACUGGCUGCAACACCUCGUCUACACGUUUGUUGAAGAUGCUGAAGAUGCUGCGUUAUAACUCAGAGCUGAUUUUAAGCCAACGGAGUCCAGAGAUAUGUGACUCCUCAUCUUCAAUAUUUCGUCUCACUCGGGCAGAAACAGCAGUAAGCAUGGAGAGGGGUUGGUUUCUGUCUUUGGUUAUCUAGCUGUAUGAGUAUAAAAACAUGUCAUAAAGCUAGAUAACCGAAAGUAGAAAUUAAUCUCAAACUCGCACCCAUCUCGUGUGAAUCUCCCAAACCGAGUGAAUUAAGGAUAUGUAUAAAAGAGCCUUGUUCCAGUCUACAACAUGCCAUAAUAAAGUACAGUGUCAUGAACUUAGGCAGCAUGCUGGACAGAAGACGUGACAGAUACAUAGAUGCUGGGAGGAAGACGCCUUUGUCCCUGACUGCCAUAUUUCUCGUCAUGCCAAAAGAUCUCCGGUGCCAUCUGGGGGAUAUGGGGCACCAUGCCCGCGCCACCGGCGAUGAAGCCCCAUCAUGUCCCUGGAGCCUUGGCACGACGAACGAGGAAGGCAGGGAGGCCAUCUUGAGGGAGAUCUCACUGAAACAGCUAAGAUGGCUGGACUGGCAUACGAGAGCACUCUUGGUGUGUUAACUGCAACAGAGGACACUGAAAAACAUGAUGCAAUAUGGGCAUUUUUCUCUCCAAGGAUAGAAUUAUAAUAUUUGUAUUAAGAAAAU